rnacentral:rRNA from 1 species
UGCUCGAGUGGCGAACGGGUGAGUAACACGUGAGUAACCUGCCCUUGACUUUGGGAUAACUUCAGGAAACUGGGGCUAAUACCGGAUAGGAGCUCCUGCUGCAUGGUGGGGGUUGGAAAGUUUCGGCGGUUGGGGAUGGACUCGCGGCUUAUCAGCUUGUUGGUGGGGUAGUGGCUUACCAAGGCUUUGACGGGUAGCCGGCCUGAGAGGGUGACCGGCCACAUUGGGGCUGAGAUACGGCUCAG